UGCUCAGUAGUCAGUGUAGAUCCUGUAUUCUAAUCAGCAGCUACAUCUGGCUACUGGGUCUC
rnacentral:pre_miRNA from 1 species